UACUGCUUUCAAGUUAAGUUCUCCAGGGCAGAAAACCUGAGUUCAAUAUAGAAUUCUUGCAUUGAUUACCUGUAUGAAAUGAAGUUAGAAAUUUCCUAUUGUCAGAAUUUCAAGUAAAUCAACAAGCUGAAAAAAUGAGCAUAAGUUACCUGCAAAUUAUAAAGAAAGCAGUACUGAAGUAUCAGAGACCCUUCCAAAGCUUAUGAAAAGAUUGCCAACUCUCCAGGACAGAGAUUGUCAGUACUCACCAUUAUCCUUGUGCUUCUCUUCUUUUCUCAGCCACGCUUGUAGUUAGGUAGGGGCAUGUGUCUCAGUUUUUGCUGGUAAAGAUGUAAAGGUAAAUGAUAUAAUCCAUCUACAGGCUUUGUGAUUUUAAAAUGUCCCCUUCGCCACCCCGUCCUUGAUUUUCUACUCCAGGCCACUCUCUCCUGCCACAGCUGCUUUGGAAAUCCACAGCCAGGAUUCAGGAUGGAGUGGAGCCAUUAGAUUACAAUGAUUACGGCUUCUUUGACGCAUGAACGUUUUGGAAUUUAUGAGGAUUUUAAUGAGGAUUUUCUGAAAAAAAUAAAAAUGGUCGAACUUGAAGCUGCAGCAGAAGAAGAUAUGGAAAAACUAAAAUCUUCCUCAAGCAAAUAUUAGAGUAAUUGUCAUUAUCUCACCAUGCUCUUUUCCUGGUUAUAAAUAUGCUAGAAAACAUUCUUACUGUAAUUUUAAUAAAGUAUUUCUCUAUGUUUUCUUCUGAUUAUUUUUAUUAUUUUAUAUGUUAUUUGACUAUGUAGUCAACUUAGAAUUUUUGUGCAUGUGUGUAAAAGUGACAUUGCAAGCUAAUUUUCUAUAUGAAUAAAAACUGUCUCCAUGCUGCUUAUUUGGUCAUUACAGGUACAGGAAAGUCAUUUUUUAAUGUUGAUCUUGUAUUACUGAGCCCUCUUAUUAAUUUCAAUGGUUUUUCAGUAGAUUCUUCUAAGUUUUUAAGUAGAUGGCCAUAUCAUCUAAAAUAAUGCUGCCUCUCUUGACUCAAUAUUGGUAAUUGCUUUUAUCUAGAAAAAUCAUGCAAUUAUUAUAGACCGUAGUGAAUUUUAUAAUUCCUUUACUGUUUUUAUAUUCCCAUUAUAUAUUAACAUUUAGAAUUUAACUUUAUUUUUUAGUCUCAGGUUAGUUUCACAAGGAGAUACAAGUGCCACAGACCCACUUUAUGGGAUUAGUGUCCACCAGCACAGGGGACACUGUGGCAGCCUUUGAGUGAAUUAGCUGAGUGGCACUUAGUUUGCAACACACCGAAUAUAGCAUCUGAUCACAGUUCAAGACAUUUGAGAGGGAAGAAACAAAGGGAGAUGGGGAGAAGAAUCUAAGUAAGAUGUUAGCAGUAGCACUCACUUUCAUAUUCACCAACUGAAGGCUAAGGAAAGCAGCUGGAUGCCGAGGCAUUAGGAAAAACGUUCGCCUAAGAAUGUGCCUGCUAUUCAGCUAUUAAAUUCCAUUAAAAUGUCCUCAUUCUGUGGUCCAUCCUUAACAUCUUCUUCCAACAGCUGCAGAUGCUCCCUCAGAGCUUGGGUGGGUCGGAAAUAUAUACAGGAAAACAUAAAAAAUAUUUUGGAUGUAUAUUCUCAAAAUAGGUGAGGAGGGAAUAUUUAAAUAAACAUGGUAAAUGUGCUAUAAUAAUUAAUAAAACGUAUUUGUUUGGUAUUGAAAUCAAUUGUCCUCCAAUAUAUUGGGAUAUAAAAUGCAUUUAAAAAUAUGGUACAUUCAGUAGGAAUAAACACAUACUUUUUUAAAAUUUAGAAGCCCUUUUCAUACACAUUUUUAACAAUCACCUCAUAAUGAUGAUACUA
rnacentral:lncRNA from 1 species